rnacentral:tRNA from 1 species
GACUUAAAAAAUCCGUCGACUUUUUAAAUCGUGAGGGUUCAAGUCCCUCUAUCCCCA